rnacentral:lncRNA from 1 species
GAAAAGAAAAGAAAAGAAAAGAAAAGAAAAGAAAAGAAAAGAAAAGAAAAGAAAAGAAAAGAAAAGAAAAGAAAAGAAAAGAAAAGAAAAGAAAAGAAAAGAAAAGAAAAGAAAAGAAAAGAAAAGAAAAGAAAAGAAAAGAAAAGAAAAAAAAAAGCAUAUUUUCCAGUCCUCAGGCUGGCAAACAAAACCUUCCUGCGUCUGCCUGAUAUCUGCAGUUUCAAGGAAAGCUGUUCAAGUUUGGAGAAUUUGUUUGUGCAGCAGUACUAUGUAUCUUCAUAAAGCCAGCAAUGUAGCUGCAACUCAAGGCUCAUUUUUCUUCCUUACUUUGAAAUAUCUAGUUAGAAAGGAAAUCACUCAGGAAGGAGUGCAACAAAGAGAUUAAUUAUAGCAAAGCACUUACAGUGCAAUGGUAAGAAUUGUGCUGGCCCUGUUGCAUAUUGGUAUGAUUGGGAAGACGAAUGAUCAGGAGCCUCAUAGCAUUUCUUUGAGAUCAGAGGCAGUGCUGUUCAAAGAUGGACCUUGACUGUACAGAGAUCCUCCAUACGAUUCAUCCCCAAACCUCACUGAACCAAAUGAUCUCAUAAUGCCAGAGUGUACUAAUAUAUCUGAGUGGGAUUAAAAAAAGGUACUUAGCUAGACUGUAGCCAACUACCCAGAUCAGACCCUCAAGGAUAAUACAAAGGCAUUGAAAAAACAUCUGUAAAUGGCAACUGAGCGGCAUCAAUUUCUAGCUGUUAAUUAUCUGUGCCUGUGAUGGUGGAAGGAGGGGAGAAAUGUGGAACAGUGAGGAGGCUGUGCUGUAGCAAUCUAUGAGAGCUUGAAUAAGGAGCUCUGCUUAAACACAGGUUAGGUCCCCUUUGAUACUAGAUCAAUACAAUCUUCUUUAAAAAAUAAUCACAUUUUGAAUAACUACUUGAAAGCUGAACAGAAACUGAUAGAAUGAGUUGGAUUCAUGAGACAUAAAAAGAAAUUAAAAAUAGAUGGAUCUUUCUGUGUUUCUUCUGUUUGUGCAUUGGUUUGAAUUCUACAUUUCCAAUUUUCCGAAAGUCAAACCACUUAAAAAUCAGAUGAUGUGUUUUUUUGCAGGCCUGGACAUUUGGGAUUGCAGAGAAUAAGUGGGCCACUGAAAUGCCAGCAAGUGUAUGAACAGUUCCACCAGGUGCAAGGAGAUUAGGCAGCCUUUAUCCACACUACCAAAGUAUCAGAACAUUUCUUUUAGAUCUACUAUGCAGGCACGAGAGCCAAAGAAUCUGAAUUAUGCUGUCCUCCAGACUCUUCUAUUAUGCUUUUUUCAGCAUUUUGCACAAAUGAGAUGGAUCAGAGUUCACACUUGUGACAAGCUCUGCUGAAACUGCAGAAACAAAGGUACUUGCUAGAAUCUAAUUCCCCAAAUAAUAAGUAGCAGUCCCUAUCUCUGAGGGCAUGUACCAUAACAGAUGCUAGCACAUCAUCAUGCAAGCAACUAGACACUGUCAGCAGCUGUUGAGAUAAUACAGUGUUUGAUUUUAUUUCUCUGAUAGCAAUUUGGUUGCCUGAAGUAGCUCAUUUUUGCCAAAGGUAGACCAUAGUGUUCAAAUGGGAGAAGCUGAUCAUUAAUGGUAAUUUGCUUUGAUCUUUAUGAGUGUGGAAUUAGAGUGGGAAGUGUGUGCACUUUAAUUGCCUUUUAGCAUCACCAAGGCAGACUAAUAUUGACUAAUAUUGAUUAAGUGGGAUGAAAUCCUCUUCUGUUUUUUUUUUCCUCCCAAGGAGAAAGCAAAUUGGUUCAUUCAUUAGAUAACACACAGAAAAGAGGCCUGUUCCCAGACCACCUACUGCUCUGACAUAGAUAGCUCCACCUCAUUUAAAAUUCUUGUUUAUUUUUGUCUCCUCUAGGUGAAGCUGCUUCCCAAAAGAAAAACACAGAUGUGUAGGUUUUUAGAACUCUUCUUGCAUUUAUAAAACAAGCAGGUGACAUUGGGCUGUUCAUCACAACUGAUUGUUCAGUGCAAUUAUGUAGACUAUAUAAUGCCUUUCUCAUGGUAGAAGAAUGGCACAGGGUCAUUUGCAAUGUUUGCUCUGUGGACUCAGGGAAAAGAAGUUACUAGCUUGCUAAUUAUCAGAUGCUGCUUCAGGCUCAUUGGCUUGAAAUUAAGCAUUGUUAAAGUCAAUUUAAACAAACUUUCAAACUACACUGUUUUAUUUUUCUGUUCCUAAGUGGCAAGCUCUUGAAAGCCUCCAAAGUCUUCAUCUUUAGUACUCUGAAAUUCAGCCCUCUUAAGCAAAAGAUUAUUCUGUGAGUAAGUCCAGUUUUUUGAUCAUGUUGACUUAUUGAUGAUUGUGACAUGGGAGGCCAAAAGAGGUAGAAGGGAUCUAAUGAUUUCCAAAUAAUAUUUAUGCAGCUUCCUAACUCAUCAGUGAAUGGCUCAGCCAAAAACUGCCUGAUAUAUACAGCAGCAACAUGUAUACAUCAGCAUUUCCAAGAGAAGAUUGUACAGCAGUUCCACAAUGACUUUUCUGAUGCAGUCAUACUAACACUAUUAGGAGUAAUUCCAAGAUACUCUUUUAUUUCUGUCCCUGAAUACAG